AUGGAUUAUCUCCAUACUUUUUUUUAUUAUUUUUUUUUCCCCCAGGAUGAACAUAUGCAUCCAUUUUUUCAGCAAGGAGUAGAAGUUUCAGGAGGUUGUCAAUUUGAAGAUAUUCUCAUCUUAAUCAUUACAUCAUUUGCUUUGUUCAUUAUUAUCCAGGUGACACCAAGGAAUUGCAUAAAUAAGGAAUACUGCCACGCAAAUGAUGAGGUACAGCAAAUGACAUCAGCAAAUUACAAAACAGCCCCUGCAAGUUAUACAAGGAGACAGAGAAUCCAUUCCACAUGAUCAGGAAGAACAAAGUGAUAAUAAAAGCAGGUUUUAUGGAGGUUAUGUCUCACAGCUCUUUAGGUCAGAUAAUAAUGUGCUAUGUCAUUAAGAUGUGGUAUCACUUUCCUGACUAUUGCAAUUGAUGGUUCAUGAUAUGAAUAGACAAUAAAGCAAGCAGUAUGUUUUGAGAUCCUCAUCUAUAAAACUGAGAUGUGUUUUCUGUAAGCUCUGCAUUCCUUCUUGCUCUUCCUUAGGCUAUUUCUUUGCCUUUGUGAGUCAUAAAUAAUAAACAAAAGCACCUUUAUUUGACAGUUCAAAGUAAUCCAGCAAAUUAUACACAUAUGCAUUCAUAUAUAUCAAUCCAUGUUUACAUAAUAGUAUGCACAUACAUGGUAUUGCUAACAACAUUGUUAUAUAUGUACACACACACACCAGCACAUAUGUAUGUUCAAAGAGAGCAAGAGAGCAGAAGAAAGUGAGCAGGAUUGUUUAAAUGGUUCUGGAAACUUUGCCUACUGUGCUAAUAAGCCUCAUGAAUAACACUAAGUAAAAGAGGGCUCAGGAAUAGAGGGCCAGGAGCACCAUGCUCUAGGUGAUCACAGUUUGUCCCCUGCCUUCCUGAAAGCUAACUUUUCAUUAAUGGCAGAUCUGGAUAAAUGUAUUUCUGUUAUAUAUUUGCAUGAAUACAUGUUCUUAUGUGUACGUUAUAUACCAUUUAUUAUACUAAAUGUUUCCUAUUGUAUUAAGUGCCAGUUGUUAGACACUUAAAAGUGAAAAUCCAGCUUUUAAAACUGUUCACUUUAAUAAUUAGGGUGAACAUAGGGGGCUACAGCAAAUGCACGGAACUGGUGCAUUUCAAAGAGGAAAAAUUAUAAGUGACAGUAACCCUCUAUCAAUUCAUUCCAAGUCAGUUAAUUAAACCUAGAAUUAUUUAAAUAAGGUGACAGUCAAAGGAAAAGGUCAAUGUUCCCAAUGUUUCAAUAGGCCUUCCUCAUCUCUGGAGUUUAAUUAACUGAUUUUGAAUGAAAUGGUCAGAAGUAUGCUAAAACUCAUGAAAUUCUUUCCCUGUUUUUUAAAUGCAAAAGCAUAUUCUCCUUGGGCCUCCACAGUGGAUUUUCAAACCACUAGGAAGCGAAGAAAAUUCUCGGAGUCCACAAAUCUAUAUAUCUGGAAUCUGAUGAUGCUGAAGAGGUGCCUGGCAAAUCUACUGCCAACACUCAGCACUACUGCAGUCCUCAGGAAGGUGGAUAUCCCAACCACUACGUCAGAAAAUCAUCUGCAUAGCAUUUUACUCAAGCACUGUGUCUAAAGGCUCUGGCAGCCUAUCCAUUUAACUGCUCUCACUUUGACAUUCUGGGCUAAUGAACAGCUAUCUUCGUUUGAAAUAGCUCCGAGAGACAGAUUCACAUCAUUGCUUUCUUCCCUCUCUUUCUGUCAUCUGCCUUCACUCCACUUCAUACAGCCUACUCAAGAAUUUCACCUCUUUGUAUGUAAAAUGGUGUGGGGAUUCAAGUACAGAAAUAGAUUUUCAUGAGUUUGAUAGACUGGGAGAAACGGGGAAGCAUGGUUCCAAAGAGACCUAUGUGGGUAAACUCUAGAAGAAAAAUCCUGUACUAGAUGCUCCUUUGGCCUCCUAUUGACCAAAAUAAAUGAUUGGUUUGUAUUUCUCUCCAUAUAUGUGGGAAAACAAAAUUGCACAAAAGAAAAACAUGACUCGAGGAAUAAUCACCUCAUUACAAGAGCAAACUGAAAGGUCCUAAAUCUUUGGCUAGUUAUUCAGUUUUAGAAGGGUAAUGAAGUAUGUGUGUCUAGUGCAUGAGAGUCCAACCUUUUGACUUUCCUGAGCCACACUGACUGAAGAGGAAUUGUCUUGAGCCGCAUGUAUGUAGGUGAGUCUGAGAGUAAUGCCUCCUGUGUGUUCUCAUGGAAACUGCAGCAGAUACAGAGAGCACAAUAACACUGAUAGAGCAAAUUCUCAGCUACAAAACACUAUUUUUCAACACAGUCACCACCAUUAGCUGUGUGUUUUUGCCAUCAGUGAACAAGAGCCUGCAUGUCACACUUGUGAAAAAUCUGCUCCAGUAGAAGUGACCCACUGGUACCACUGCUGAAAAGCACCACCCACCACCUGUGGGCGUUCACACCCACUGUUUUGUCUCCAUAAACUUUCAGCAAGUGUUGAAGAAUGUCAGUGGGUGCCAUUUUUUUUUUUCUGCCUGAAGGCGGUCAGUUUUCUGUAUAGAAUAUGAAGUUUUGUGUAUAGGAUAUGGUUCCUCUCAAUCUGCAAUAGCUGAUGACUGUCAUCUUUCCAAUUGGUAUUCUUUCACAAAUGGCUGACACUGUGAAAUUACCCCCAGCAGUGCAAUAUAGCCCUGCACAAGGUCCUACACUUUCAGCUCACUCCUUUAGCCAAAACAGAGCAAAUAUAUCCGUGCAUUUUCAUGGCAUGGUCUAGAGACAGCAGGAGUGUGAAUCAGCCUGACUCAUAGAAUCAUAGAAUGGCCUGGGCUAAAAAGGACCACAAUGGCCAUCCAGUUUUAACCCCCCUGCUAUGUGCAGGGUUGCCAAACACUAGUCCAGGCUGCCCAGAGUCACAUCCAGCCUGGCCUUGAAUGCCUCCAGGGAUGGGGCAUCCACAACCUCCUUGGGCAACCUGUUCAAGUGCGUCACCACCCUCCGAGUGAAAAACUUCCUCCUAAUACCUAACCUAAACCUCCCGUCUCAGUUUAAAACCAUUCCCCCUUGUCCUAUCACUAUCCAUCCUCGUAAACAACCGUUCCCCUUCCUGUUUAUACACUCCCUUCAAGUACUGGAAGGCUGCAAUGAGGUCUCCCCGGAGCCUUCUCUUCUCCAAGCUAAACAAACGCAGUUCCCUCACCCCUUCCUCACAGGAGAGGUGCUCCAGCCCUCUGAUCAUCUUAGUGGCCCUCCUCUGGACCCGCUCCAAGAGCUCCAUGUCCUUCCUGU
rnacentral:lncRNA from 7 species